rnacentral:rRNA from 1 species
GACGAACGCUGGCGGCGUGCUUAACACAUGCAAGUCGAACGGAAAGGCCUUUUCGGAGGUACUCGAGUGGCGAACGGGUGAGUAACACGUGGGUGAUCUGCCCUGCACUCUGGGAUAAGCCUGGGAAACUGGGUCUAAUACCGGAUAGGACCGCACUUUAGUGUGUGUGGUGGAAAGUUUUUUCGGUGUAGGAUGAGCCCGCGUCCUAUCAGCUUGUUGGUGGGGUAAUGGCCUACCAAGGCGGCGACGGGUAGCCGGACUGAGAGGUUGGUCGGCCACAUUGGGACUGAGAUACGGCCCAGACUCCUACGGGAGGCAGCAGUGGGGAAUAUUGCACAAUGGGCGCAAGCCUGAUGCAGCGACGCCGCGUGGGGGAUGACGGCCUUCGGGUUGUAAACUCCUUUCGCCAGGGACGAAGCGUUUUGUGACGGUACCUGGAGAAGAAGCACCGGCUAACUACGUG